AUGAGGUUCUUCAACAACAACGCCUUCAAGAAGGAUCGACGCUCAAGCGACAUCGUUGCCAGAUCCAACCAUCCAAGAACACCACUGACGACUACCUUGCCGGAGAGAGCCCUGCCCAUGCCCAUUUGCCCAGGGGAUGACAUGACCGGAGCCACAGUGCAUGCGUACAAGGUUUACCGUCAGUGUCGUCCCGAUGGUGAGAUCCGACGAGACCAUACGCACAAACCAGCCUACGGCAGCGGCCAUCGAUGCUCAAGCAGUAGCCUAGCUGGAUGCGCUCCCCGUGCCCCAGGGCCUAGAUUGAUUGCCAGCCAGCAAGGACCAGGCAGCCCUGAUGCCGUCACGCGCGGAGCGUACCUGACAGGGCGCCCACAUCCAUGGCCAAAGGAAGGAGAGCAUACCCGACAAGGCACCCACAACCAUGGCCGAAGGAAUGAUAGAAAAGGAGGAAGCCGCCACCGUGUAGUGCGAGGAGCUUUGCCCCUACCACCCUGGCCGGCAACAAUCAACGAGAAGGUAGGGAGCCAGAGAGGGAGGGAUCCGGUUUUCCUGCUCCUUCUCCAUGCUUCCAUCUGUGCUCCCACUUCAUCCUAUGGCUGUCUUUUUUCCUUUUUCCUUUCUAAUCUAAUCAUCUCGACCCCUGAUUUUAAGGGGGUGGGGCCGGGCCUUAUUUUGUUCCACUCAAAUCAAGCCACGUAUGCGGGAGCAUGGAUGGGCGCACACACGGGGAGCAGGCAAGUCUCGUCCGAGAGGGAGUCCCUAGUGGUGACGGUGGUAGUUGCCGCUCAAGUCGCCUUGGAUGACGAGGGAGCCUCGUGUUAUGUUCCCCUCAUCAGAUCAUCCAUGAUCAUGGGGUUCGACCAACCAGAGGUGCCGACCAUGUGCCUAAAGCAACGAUUAAGUGUGUGUUCUGCAUAUUACCAAAUCAGGCCCGUGUGUUGCAAUUUCAACCCAUUUGGUAGCCUGCGCUACAUAGAAUUCUUGGCCCGCAUGAUGUCAAAGCACCUCCCAACAAUGCCCGCUAGGAACUGCCGAAUUGGUCCUUUCCCCUUAGCCAGGCUACCAGCAUGUAGGGGAGGUGAACGCGGCGCCGAGCUCAUGCGACCAGGGAGAUGGCGCAAGCUCGCGCACGUCCCUGAAAAACCAGCGGUAGACAACGAUGGCAAUUUGUCUUCCUCCUCUUCCCCGACCUGCUCCGCGGUUCCACCCGGCUUCAUUGAUGAUUGUGUGGUAGUGUUGAACUCCAUGGUGAAGUGUCAAACCAUCUCUGAGCCAAGGGGCAAGAAAAGAUCUCACUCUGACCAAAGACAAGGAGCUAGAAAGGAUGUCGAGAGUGCAUUUUGGAGUGCUCCAAGCCCAUUUUGCAGUAGUUUAAGGACCAACAAAAAUAUGGGAUUCAGAGACGUAGGAGGUAAUGACAGCUUUUGUGAUCAUACACAACAUGAUUGUAGGGAUGAGGGUGACGGAGUUCACCACGGUUUGCAAUUUGAGCAAAUGGUAUCAAACUUCCAGAGCAGAAUCAGGCGGGGGGCGUACGCUGUCCGCAGACAGACGUUUGGGAUGUCCGUUUUGAUGGAUGCUUAUCCAUUCCCGUUCUCCACCACCGGGCGUACGCGCCGUCCAAGCCCAGGAAUAGAACGAGGCGUCGCGGCAGGGGUUGUCUGCGGCCCACGUAGAGGGUCGCGGCGCCGGUCGCAGGGAGGACGGGGGCACCGGCGGCUGGUGAACUCGGAGGCUGCGGCUGUGCGACGACGUCCGUGGUGGUGGCGACAGCUACGACGACGCGACCACGAUGCGGCAGGGGAUGGAGGCUUCCUCGCCUGGGCUUGGGCGCGUCAGCACGGCGUUGGGCCGUUGCCGGUGGCGUCGAGGCCGGCGCACGCAUGGACAGGGCGCCCAAGGGUGAGCCGCCGCGACGUCCGCCUUGCCGGGGCUUGCGGGGCAGCACGGCGUCGGGCCGUUGAGCAGAUCUUCUCCAUCCACGAGUCCAACUUCCUGUUUGGCGCGCAGGCGCUGGAGCCGGCAGGGGCGUGCUCUGCGGGGCACGCUCGCCGCGGCCGUGCUGGUCAGGCUCGAGCGCUGACUGCGGGAGCUGUCCGGGAACCCCGAGGCCCGCGUAGUGGACUACUUCAAGCAGGGUCCGGCGCCGGAUGGUUCCUGGCGGCUGCGUUGUUCGCGCGCCGGAUGCCGGCGGAGGCGGCGUGCGACGUCGUGGCCAAGAACCGCAAGGUGUUCUCCGGGCGCCACGGCCGCGGUGGGUUCUUCUCCGGGGCCGAUGCAGUUGUCCAGUUCAGAUGUCCAUACACUUCAAUGAAAUACCCUCAGCUGCUUUCCAAUCUGAGAGUUGAAUCGAAGAUGUCUCAAGAACUGCGCACACAAUUGAGCGAGUCUGAGAAAGGAGAGCUAAAAGAAUCGUUCCAUCAUAUGCUGAAAUGGGCCUGGAGAUAUAAUAAAUAUCUUGAAGAACAGGCAGCCCAGCUUCACAUGUUAACUAGCUGGUCGAAAACUGUUGAAGUAGCUGUAUCAAGAAACAUUUCGAAGCAAGCCGCUAAGCCCAAGUCUCGAAUCAGGAUUGUCGUCGUUCGUCAGUCCCAAGUAUUUGAAUUCUUCCGUAUCUCUGCUCUUGAUUACAUAUGGUGCGAGAUUCUAAUUUCUUGGACUAUAGUGCAGCUAGGAGAUUGUGGCGGCAGCGGUGGGUUUUGGGUCGGCGAGCUGCAGGGAUUUGCUGGACGCACGCCAUCACAUGUCGAGCCACACAUAGUGACCGAUGGUGGCGGAUUAGAGUUGGAAUUCAAGAGGUUUGUGUGGUUUCAGUUAUCCGAUGAUUGGGCGAGAGCGGAGCAACAGAGGCCGGCCAAGAACAUGACCAGGGAUAACACAUCUUGCUUGAUUUCCCGAGCGACCUAA
rnacentral:rRNA from 1 species